GCCUCGCCUUCCCUUUCGAGCUCUCUUGCAGUGAAUGCCACAGGCCUCUCACCACUUUGUCCAGAUUUAGACCUCAACUUUUCCCAGACUUCCAGGUUCAGCUGGUUGAAUCGCGCUGCGCUGCUCCACUGAUUUCUCGUUCUCACCGUCAACAUGGGCACAGGACCCUCCAAAUAUCGGCCAUAAAGGAUAUUUAGCUUUGGGUUCUGAUGCAAAGGAAGUCUGCACCACCACUUCCCCAAACAUGGAGUCUCCUGCCGAGGUGCCGUUGUUUGAAAUGGAGUUGGAAGAGGACAAGGGGGCUGAUGAUUUAAUGGCAGACGCAGGCAGUUGUUCACCUACAUGGAUGGAUGCUGCGGCCCCCCCAGCAGGCCCAGAGCGAGAUGCCUUCAUUUACAUGAACUUCAUGAAGAACCACAGCUGCUAUGACGCCAUUCCCACCAGCUCCAAGCUGGUCAUCUUUGACACUGCACUGCAGGUGAAGAAGGCUUUCUUUGCUCUGGUGGCUAACGGUGUACGAGCAGCACCUCUGUGGGACAAUAAGCUCAAAUGUUUUGUAGGGAUGCUGACCAUCACGGACUUCAUCAACAUCCUCCAUCGUUAUUACAAGUCUCCACUGGUUCAGAUCUACGAGUUGGAGGAGCACAAGAUCGAGACGUGGCGAGAGAUCUAUCUGCAGUAUUCCACCAACAGGCUCAUCAGCAUCACCCCCGAGGCCAGUCUGUUUGAUGCCAUCUACUCCCUGUUAAAGAACAAGAUACACCGCCUUCCCGUUAUCGACCCGGCAUCGGGAAAUGUCCUGCAUAUCCUGACACACAAACGCAUCCUCAAAUUCCUCCACAUAUUUGGUUCUAUGAUUCCAAAGCCAUGGUUCCUGCAAAAACAGAUCGGUCAGCUGGCUAUCGGUACCUUUAAGCAGAUCGCAACAGUGCAGGAAUCGGCGUCGGUCUACGACGCUCUGAGCAUCUUUGUGGAGCGACGGGUGUCCGCUCUGCCUGUGGUCAAUGAGCAAGGUCAAGUAGUGGCGCUGUACUCCAGAUUUGAUGUCAUUAAUCUUGCAGCCCAGAAGCGCUACAACAACUUGGAUAUGACCAUGACAGAGGCUGUUGCCUCCAGAGCCUGCUGUAUGGAAGGAGUGCUUAAAUGUUACCCUCAUGAAACCUUAGAGACCAUCAUUGACCGCAUCGCUCAGGCUGAGGUGCAUCGUUUAGUGUUGGUUGAUGCCAAGGAUGUGGUGAGAGGAAUCGUCUCACUGUCGGACCUCCUCCAGGCCCUGGUCCUCAGCCCAGCAGUCCCACCCCGGAUGUGUGGCAGGCCCACUCCUCAUCUACAAAGGCCACGACUGGUUUCUGGUGGUCCAUCUGCUCCAGUAUUGGCUAGAUGUUCCCACCGCUUUUUCCCUUCCCAAAUAUUAGCAUCUCCAAAGUCAAGAAAACAUUGUGUUUAUCUCCCAAAAAAAAAACGUCUAAACCAUUGACCAGUGACAGUCUGCUACUCUACCUUGAUGCUACUCGAUCCUGAACUGCCUGUUUACGUCAGCACUGUAUGCACCUUCGGCUGUGUUAAAAAAAAAGGAGAGUCAAUCGGUCCUCCACCUUCUGCAAAAGGGAGUCCCCAUUCUGCAGCUCUUACAAACACCUUCAUGACUCCAGCAGAAAAUGUUAGCAGCUCCUCGGCCGCUCACCUUGCAGGUUUUAUGAGCAAUUGUGUUUUCAAGAGGGAGGAAAGUGAAAAAAACUGAGACGAGCGGCUCAAGUGUGACCGAACAAGCCCAGGUCAAAUUCACCAGGCAAAAUGAGAAUCAAUGUGAAGAAAAAGAAAAUCGUGGGACUUCAAUCAACUUAUUUUGAUUGAGACAUUUUAUUAACGGAGGCAUGUCUGAAUGAAGCGGACUUUCACAGAAAACUGAUCCUCUCUAUUCAGAAUUGAAUUACAUGGUGUAAAACCAACAACUCUCGAAAUAGUCAUGUGAUGUUUGUGCUUUGGACAUUAUGCCGUAUGAUGAGUAGUUUUUCCGUUUCAUUUAGAGGCACUGACACAAAUUUUACUGUGCAAAACAAAACUUUUCUUUGUUGUUCAUAGCCAUGCGUAACACUUUUUUUUCACACAGUAAGGUAUGCUCACAAUACAACACCGUGUAUAAUUUAGCAUUUCCUGCAUUAUGAAGAAUGUUCUUUAGAAAUGUUGGCCGUCUUACAUCACAUGUCAAAUCUCCAUUUCUUUUAAUUUAAAGUAUUGUAUUGACCUGCGAUUGGCUGGCAACCGGUUCAGGGUGUCCCCCACCGACUGCCCGAAGACAGCUGGGAUAGGCUCCAGCACCCCCACAACCCUUGUGUUGUUGACCCUUGUAUUCAUGCCUCAAACCUUACAAUGUUUGACUCUGUUGUGAAAUUCGCAUCAGUAUCAUGCCACAUCUAUGUUCCUCUUCACCAACAAUCUCUUGAAUCCUUUUUUUCUAAUAUAUUACAGUACUGUAUAUGUUAGAUUUAUUUUUUAAUCCCUGCAUUUUUUUAAGCCCCCUCGUGGACUCUCAGGGGAUUUCACUAUAUAUAUCGUCACGAAGGCGAAAUUUUGUCUGAUCAUUCGUAUAACAUUAAUAAAGAGAAGGUGUAUUCUUA